CGAGCGGACUUGACGGAAGCUUGCUUCCGUUCAAGUUAGCGGCGGACGGGUGAGUAACACGUGGGUAACCUGCCUGUAAGACUGGGAUAACUCCGGGAAACCGGGGCUAAUACCGGAUAUUCUUUUUCUUCGCAUGAAGAAGAAUGGAAAGGCGGCUUUUAGCUGUCACUUACAGAUGGACCCGCGGCGCAUUAGCUAGUUGGUGAGGUAACGGCUCACCAAGGCAACGAUGCGUAACCGACCUGAGAGGGUGAUCGGCCACACUGGGACUGAGACACGGCCCAGACUCCUACGGGAGGCAGCAGUAGGGAAUCUUCCGCAAUGGACGAAAGUCUGACGGAGCAACGCCGCGUGAGUGA
rnacentral:rRNA from 1 species